CGUGUGAUGAAGUCAGUGGUCUUUGGUAAAAUGUCCGCCACUGUGACCAGCCGUGGUUCUCCGCGCUCCAUGGGCCUGUCAAGAGGCAGCAAGUCCCCCGCAGGCUCCGUUAACGGGAAUCCGACCAGUCAUCUGUCCACUCCUUGCUCGGGGAAAUCUCCCAGCCCCUCCCCUUCCAGCCCUGCUACAGACUUCAGACCUAGCAGGGAGUCUCAGGGUUCGUCUAUCUCUCUGGCCUCUACCAAAGUCUGUAAUUCAUUGGCUGAAGGGAUGGACCAGUCACUGAAUUAGAGGAUGAGAUCCGGCGGUGCCUGUCUCCAUAUCAGAGCGCUACAGAGUGGGACGUACUUUUGGGAGAUGGGAACUUUGCGGUGGUCCGGGAAUGUGGAACACUCUACAGGCAGAGAAUACGCCCUGAAGAUCAUUAACAAGGGCCGGC